rnacentral:rRNA from 1 species
AAGUCCCGCAACGAGCGCAACCCUCGUUCUAUGUUGCCAGCACGUGAUGGUGGGGACUCAUAGGAGACUGCCGGGGUCAACUCGGAGGAAGGUGGGGAUGACGUCAAAUCAUCAUGCCCCUUAUGUCUUGGGCUUCACGCAUGCUACAAUGGCCGGUACAAAGGGUUGCGAUACUGUGAGGUGGAGCUAAUCCCAAAAAGCCGGUCUCAGUUCGGAUUGAGGUCUGCAACUCGACCUCAUGAAGUCGGAGUCGCUAGUAAUCGCAGAUCAGCAACGCUGCGGUGAAUACGUUCCCGGGCCUUGUACACACCGCCCGUCAAGUCACGAAAGUUGGUAACACCCGAAGCCGGUGGCCUAACCCCUUUGUGGGAGGGAGCCGUCGAAGGUGGGACUGGCGAUUGGGACUAAGUCGUAACAAGGUAGCCGUACCGGAAGGUGCGGCUGGAUCACCUCCUUUCUAAGGAG